rnacentral:rRNA from 1 species
UGGGGAAUAUUGCACAAUGGGCGCAAGCCUGAUGCAGCCAUGCCGCGUGUGUGAAGAAGGCCUUCGGGUUGUAAAGCACUUUCAGCGGGGAGGAAGGCGAUAAGGUUAAUAACCUUGGCGAUUGACGUUACCCGCAGAAGAAGCACCGGCUAACUCCGUGCCAGCAGCCGCGGUAAUACGGAGGGUGCAAGCGUUAAUCGGAAUUACUGGGCGUAAAGCGCACGCAGGCGGUCUGUCAAGUCGGAUGUGAAAUCCCCGGGCUCAACCUGGGAACUGCAUUCGAAACUGGCAGGCUAGAGUCUUGUAGAGGGGGGUAGAAUUCCAGGUGUAGCGGUGAAAUGCGUAGAGAUCUGGAGGAAUACCGGUGGCGAAGGCGGCCCCCUGGACAAAGACUGACGCUCAGGUGCGAAAGCGUGGGGAGCAAACAGG